rnacentral:tRNA from 1 species
GUCAUGGUGGCUGAGAGUUCAAGCGGUGGGUUGUAGCCCCAAGGACAGGGGUUUAAAUCCUCUUCAUGACA